AACAAAAUUUAAAAAGAUCCCUGGGUAAUAACAACAAAAUUAUUUAGUUUUUUUCGCACCUUCCUUUAAGAAACACGCGUAUCUUUUGCUCUCUCGACUUUUUUAAAUUAUUUCAAAAUUUUCUGGUUUACCUUACGGUCCUUACCUCACUAAUCUUAUUGAAGAUGUCUUGCCCACCACCAAAGCCAGCCCCUUGCUGCGUUCCUUGCGUACCGUGUUGCGCCCCUUGCCCACCCUGUUGCCCACCGUGCUGUCCACCAGGUUGUCCACCGUGUUGCCCGCCAGCAUGUCCCUCUCCACCACCGGUUUGCGUUUAUGUACCAUGCUGUUCUCCUUGCUGUGCCCCAUGUUGUCCACCACCUUGCCCACCAAAGUGUUGAUUGUAGGAAGAGAUUAAGUGGAAGUCCGAUAAAAGAAAUGGUUUGCAGGAUAUUGAUGAUAAAAAGGGGUUUUGAUAAUUACUCAUGAACAUGAUAGAGGUGAAGACUACGAAGAAAUUAAUGAAUAACACGGAUGAUUUAAGUGAGGCUAUGAUUUGCAAACUAUUAUAAAAAUGAUAAAAAAAUUAAAUAAAUCUGUAUAAAUAUA